GGGGAAAUAAAUGAGGUAGGAACACAGCCUGUCACACCUUAAAGAAAAAGGUUAGCCUUUUUGUUGAAC